rnacentral:tRNA from 1 species
GCGUAAUUAGUCUAGUGGUAAGUUACAUCAAUGUUACCAACUUACCAAUUCCAGAUGAUUAACAUCGUUUCAGGUUAGGAUUGGUGCCUUCCAAGCACUAGGGCUGGGUUCGAUUCCCAGAUUACGCA